AUUUUAAAACAUAAGGUAGGCAAAUCGGGCGCAAAUUGAAGGCUGUGCGCAAGGGGAAGGAUUCGUCGCGCAAAUUCCCCAUUCAUACAAAACAUGCGCAUACCCGGCCUGCCAAACGGGUUUACGCGCGGGCCUUCACUAUUGCAAACGACACCAUUUUGUAAAAGGUUACGUAAAACCUUUCUUUCCCCAUUUCCUUUUUCAAACGCAGCCCCACUGUUUGGCCGAAAAUCACAGCCUUAAAAUUAGAUUUCUAGGGUUUUUUUGUUAGCAGCCGAACCACCAUCGUUUUGGUGAUCAAUCAACAUGCAAACAGUACCCAUCCUCCCCGUUGAAGGCGCUCGACCAUGCUUAGAGAAAAUUAGCUCAGUUGUACGGAGAAGAUGACCCGGUGACAUGGACGCCACACACGGGGAUCUCGCGUGGGACACCGUCCCUCUGGUGCCCUUCCAGUGUAUUCCAGGAGCUGCUGCUAAAAUUCUCUUUCUUUUGGGCUCUUUCGGGUUUGGGCUAGAUUUAGGAUAUGAGUUUAUUAGAAUUGGGUUUUACGACUUAUUGUGUCAUGGGUUAUUUUGGUAAUUGGGUUGGGUCUAUAUUAAAGGAUUUUGGGUUUAAGUUAUUUUGGCCCAAAUAUUUGUAACCGGACAUUGGACUUCUGAAUUUGGAUUCUUUAUUUAUGGGUGUUUUUUAUUCAA